AUUGAACGCUGGCGGCAGGCCUAACACAUGCAAGUCGAGCGGCAGCGGGAAAGUAGCUUGCUACUUUUGCCGGCGAGCGGCGGACGGGUGAGUAAUGCCUGGGAAAUUGCCCAGUCGAGGGGGAUAACAGUUGGAAACGACUGCUAAUACCGCAUACGCCCUACGGGGGAAAGCAGGGGACCUUCGGGCCUUGCGCGAUUGGAUAUGCCCAGGUGGGAUUAGCUAGUUGGUGAGGUAAUGGCUCACCAAGGCGACGAUCCCUAGCUGGUCUGGGAGGAUGAUCAGCCACACUGGAACUGAGACACGGUCCAGGCUCCUACGGGAGGCAGCAGUGAGGAAUAUUGCACAAUGGGGGAAACCCUGAUGCAGCCAUGCCGCGUGUGUGAAGAAGGCCUUCGGGUUGUAAAGCACUUUCAGCGAGGAGGAAAGGUCAGUAGCUAAUAUCUGCUGGCUGUGACGUUACUCGCAGAAGAAGCACCGGCUAGCUCCGUGCCAGCAGCCGCAGUAA
rnacentral:rRNA from 1 species